rnacentral:tRNA from 1 species
GCUCUCGUAGUCUAACGGAUAGAACGUCGGCUUCCGGAGCCGAAAAUACAGGUUCGAAUCCUGUCGGGAGCA